rnacentral:misc_RNA from 1 species
CUAAAAUCAUCAUGCGGAGGAAAUUCAAGGAAUAACUCAAAGUUAAAAUACAAUGGAUUUGGAUAUAAAUUGCGCAAGGCAUGAAGCCGGAAAAAUACUUCCCACAUGCUGUUCCCAGAUCAUCAUUGUCUGAAACCAUGGCCAUGAAAGGUAGCCAUGAUAAAGCAUCGGGUUUAUAGAAGAACUGUCAAAUCAAAAUCAAGAUAACAAAAGAUUUCCAACUGUGAAGGCAACAAGUCCUCUCAUCUGAAAUCUGUCAGUCAAGCACAUUAGUUGCACACAAGUUGGAAAUAUUCACUUCUUACCUGGGAG